UUUAUGCCAACCAAUUGGUUAAUAUAGAGCCAAAGGAUAAAUUCCUAGAAAAAUAUAAUGUACCAAGACUGAAUCAGAACAGACAAAUAACAAAUAAAUGGAAGAGUUAGGUAACUUCCAACAACAACAAAAAAGUCCAGAGCAGGAUUGUGUCAUGUCUGAAUUCUAGCAAACAUUCAAAAUAAGAAUUAUUAUUAGUACUUGUUGAAUUGUCCUCCCCACUCUCACAAAACAGGAAAAAAAACUAGAGAGAAUAUUUUUAAAUACAUUUUAUGAGACUAGCAUCUCCUAGAUACCAAAUUCAGACAAGGAUAUCACAAGGAAAGGAAAGUACAAAGAUACAAUAGUAUCUUUGAAGAAAACUGAUGCAAAAAUCCUCAAUAAAAUAUUAUUAAACUAAAUUCAACACACAGAAAGGACUAUAUACAUCGUGAGCAAAUGGGAUUUAUCUCUGACAUACAAGGCUGGGUUAACAAUCUCCAGUGAAUGAAUGUGAUACUUCAUGUUAACAAAAUAAAAGAUAAAAACACACAAUCAACUCCACUGAUGUAGAAAAAGCAUUUGAUAAUGUUCGCCAUUCUUUCUUAGCCAAAACUUUUAACAGUUUUGGUGCUGAAGGAAAUAUUCAAAACCUAAUAAAGCCAGUUGAUUGUAAAACCCAUUACUGACAUCAUAAUGGGGAACACAUGAAAACUUUCCACUAUGGUCAGGUGAAGGACAAGCUGCCCUCACCACAUCUACUCAACACAGCAUUAAGAUCACUGGCAAGAUAACAGAUUUUAUCCAAACCAAAAAAAAAAACAAAAAAAGAUCAUUAAUAAGAGAAUUCAAGAGAGAAGAAAGAAAGGGAAGGAAAAAUAGAAGAAGAAUCAAAGAAAAAGAAACAAUUCUUUGUAUAUGGGAAAUUCAAUACAAUGGGCAAAAUGCUUACUAUGUGAAAGGCACAAUGUCUUUAUUGUUGAGUUUCUUGGAUAGACAAGUACACCAAUGGAACAGAACAGAAAAUCCAGAAAUUAAUCCACACAUCUAAAACCAACUAAUCUUUGAGAAACAAGCUAAAAUCACUCCCUGUAGGAAGGAGUUUCUACAACAAAUGGUUAUGGGAAAACUGGACCUCCACAUACAGAAGUAUGAAACAAGACCACUACAUUAUACCUUAAACAAAAUUCAUCUCACAAUAGUUCAAGGAUCUAAAUAUAAUACCUGAUAUCAUCAACUUACUAGAGGAAAAUAUUGGGGAAACUCUGCAAGACAUUGGUAUAAGCAAAGAUUUCUUGGAUGGGAUCCCAGAAGCACAGGCAAUAAAAGCAAAAAAUAGACAAAUAGGAUUACAACAAGCUAAGAAACUUCUGUGCAGCAAAGGAAACAGCAAAGUGAAGAUGCUCUAUUUUCCAACUGCACACACUUACAAUGCUCCCCGCCCAUCCAUGUCUAUAAAAUAUUCAGCACGAUAGCUUUCAUUCAUUAUUUGCCUAUACAGUAAUUUGUUUUACAAGGUUCCCUGUUAAAACUGGAUGGAACAAGUUGCGGUUAGAAUUGACUGGACUCCGUAGAGCAACUCAGGCUGAUGGAGGGAGUCACCUUAUGGCUCAUUCGUAUAUUAAAUGGCACAUCUACAAUGUUUCAGCAGUCAUCUUUGGGCACACGAUGCAUGUAAAAGCAAGACUUCUCAAUGCUCAUACUCAAAUGACUUUCCCCACUCGGAUCCUCUGCCUCUAUUGUGUUCUGUCACUUGGUUUACACCCAGUUACACCCUCUAUACCUUAACUCCAUAAAUUCCCAUACCCCUCCCUGAACAGGAAGAUGGUUUAAGGCUUGUUAUUGUCUCUCUCCACAUCUCCUUACAGUCUUAUAAUAAAUCUUCCCUUUCUCAGAAGAUUCAGCAUCUGGUGUUUGUUUAAUUUAUGGUUGCAGGUGAGUAGGGUGGACUUGUUGCUUGGCAACAAAGUAAUAUGCUAGUGUGUGCAACUUUGAGAUUAUCCCUUUCUUCAACGUUAUUUCCCAGCAGUCAUUGGUGAUCUUGAACUGAUUAUUACCCGGCAGUUAAGAAAAUACCAUGCACAUUUUACUGAUGAGGACGCUUGGGCUCUGAGUUGUACUUUCUCCAAAUUAACCGGCUAGUAUAUGGAUGGGUCAGGCUUUGAGCCUUGUCGGGGCCUCUGAUGUGUUCUUUUGUCACAAUCUAGAGAAAAUCCAUUGCCUUUCUUAAGAUUGUUUCUCCCUCUAGGACUAUAUUCUCAUGAAUACUCCCUGAUUUAUCUGUCCUUUCUGUUCUGCACUAACAAAUGCUAAACUCAGGUUCGUUCCUUGAUUUCCAUCAAUAAAAUAAUCUGUGUAAGUAGAAGGCAGUACUGAAGGCCUUUAGAGAUGUUAAAGGAAAGAAAAGGAAUUUUGCCCCUUCACAAUUAUAACUGAAUAUUAAACAUUUCUGUUGCUAAAAGCCAUUUAUCACGGUUAGUGCUGUGGUGCAGCCAGUGAAGCCACUGCUUGUGAUGCCUGCAUCCCUUAUUGAGCGUCAGUUCAAGACUUAGCCGUGUUGCUUCCUGUCCAACUUCUUGUUAAUGUGCCUGGGAAGGCAGCAAAGAUGGCCAAAGUACUUGGGCCCUUGUCACCCAUAAAGGAGAUCUGGACAGAGUUCCUGACUCCUGGCUUCAGCCUGGCCUGGCCCAGUCCGGGUUGUUGCAACUAUUUGAAUAGUAAAAUGAUCUCUCCCUUGCUCACUCAUUCUCACUCUCUUGCACAGCUUUUUGGAUAUAUAAGCAAGAAGAUCUCUUUACAAUUUGAAUAAAGCUCUAUUUACUUGAAAGGCAGAGUUAUAUAGAGAGAGGAAAAGACAGAGGAGAGAGAGAGAGAGAGAGAGAGAGAGAGAGAGAGAAACUUCCAUCUGCUGCUUUGCUUCCCAAAUGGCAGUAAUGGUCAGGAAUAGCGAGGCUGCAGCUAGGAGCCAAGAGUUUCUUCUGGGUCUUCCACAUGGGUGUCAGGGGUCCAAGCACUUGUAUCAUUUGCCAUCUUCACAGGCCAUUAGCAGGGAGCUGGAUUGUAAAUGGAGCAGCUAGCUGAGGCUUGAACCUCACCCAUAUGGGAUGCCAGCAUCACAAACUGCUGCUUAACCCACUGUGCCACAGUGUCGGCCCCAGAUUUUUUUUUUCUGAAAAGUCAUUUGUUUAGCCCCCAUAUAUUCUGCUGCACUCAUCCCAGCUUCUCUAUAGUCUUCCUCUAUAGAACAAAAACAUUACAUUUCUUGAAUAUUGAGUGGGAAAAUUCAGCACACACAACCCUCAGAGUAGUCAGUCACGCCUCCCUUUACAGAUCUAGACUCAGCCAAAGUUUUAAAACAAUGGCAAGGAUAUGAUUAAGCCUUUACUUUUUAAAGAAAUAUUUUUACAUCAAAAUUUUGUGGAGCACAUCAUAAAAUUAGAUCUAUAUUUUUUAAAAAAAAUUUUUUUCAUUAACAUAAAGAGAAGAGAUUUCAUGCAUUCCAUAGGGCAGUUCUAAGCAGACAACCACACUUCCCGACACCCCCCUCCCCCAGCCAUCCCCUUCUCUCUCCCUCCUCUCUUCAUCAGUUUUCGCAAAAACAAAAUUUUAAUCCAAUCUAUAUUCACAGGUGUAAUUUGCCACUAAUCAAAAUAUCCAACAAGUAAUAAGUAGGAAACCACAGUUCCACAGGAGUAUAAACAAGGGCCAAAACCAACCAUCAUAUACCAAAAUGUCCAUUUCAUUUCUAUACAUUUUUUGUAUUCUAUAACUGUCACAAAUCUGAGAAAACAUAUAUUUGUCUGUUUGAGACUGGCUUAUUUUACUAAGCAAAAUGGUUUCCUAUUGCACCCAUUUCAUUACCAGAGACAGGAUUUCAUUCUUUUUUAUGGUAGUAUCCAACAGUGUAUAGAUACCACAUUUUCUUUAUCCAGUCAUCAAUUUAUGUACAUCUGGGUUGAUUCCAUGCCUUAGCUAUGAACUAAGCUGCAAGGUAACUCUUUCAUAUGCUGAUUUCAUAUUCUUUCAAUAAAUUCCCAAGAGCAGGAUGGCUGGUUCAAAUGGUAGAUCUAUUUUCACAUUCCGGAGGAAUCUCCACAUCAUCUUCCAUAAUGAUUCUAACAUACACUCACACCAACAGCAUAUUUGGGUACCUUUUCCCCCACAUCCUUGCCAGCAUUUAUUGUUUUUGAUUUUUGGGUGAUAGUCCUUCUAACUGAGGUGAGGUAGAACCCCAUUGGGGUUUUGAUAUGCAUUUCCCUGAUAGCUAACGAUACCGAGAAUUUUUUAAUGUGUCUGUUGAUAAUUUGUGUCUAAAAAAUGAAUGUUCUUGUCCUUUGCCCAUUUCUUAACUGGGAUGUUUAUUUUGUUUUGGUUUAGAUUCUCAAGCUCUUUAUAGAUCUUGGAUAUUACUUCUUUAUCAGUUGUACAGUUCACAAAUAUUUUAUCCCAUCCUUCCAGUUUCCUCUUCACUUUGCUGAGUAUUUCCUUUGUAGUGCAAAAGAUCCUUGGCGUGAUGUAAUCUCAUUUGUCUUUUUUUGUCUUUUGAUUACCUAUGCUUCAGGAGUCUUUUCCAAGAAAUCUUUGCCUACACCAAUGUCU